UCAAUUAAAUCUUAUAGCAAUGGAUGGAACCGACGAGGCUGGAGUUAUGGUGCUCCUUAGCGCACGAUCCUGCGGAGCGUGCGACUAUUUUGCUUCUGAUUGUUGCCAGACGAUGCCGAGCCACCCGUGCCGUCAUUGCUCGUCUCAAUUUUGCGAGAUCAACAGCCGCUGCUCAGCCUGCCGCCACAUCCAGCAAGCAGCUCAUGAAGAAAUACUACCACUGCAAGUCACCAGGUAUCAGGUCAGAAAAUGCAGGACCGAGCUACGUACUCUGAUUUCCACAUGUGGCUAUCUCUGUCAUUCACCGUGGCAAAGUGAAACUGUGAUGUCAAUCCUAUGAAUACGUUGAACCGAGGUGUUGAUUUUAUCAACCGGCUGUGGUGCCAUGUAUGUUUAGCCCACACGCUCCUCCAUAGGAGUAGUGCAACUGCACUUGUACAGCGCCGCAGAGACAAAUGGUGGCGAGCCGAGAGCUGCUGCCGGUGGUAUUAUCUGAGAUAGCCGUGGAGAUCAAAGGAUCUAUGUAUAACCUUG